rnacentral:lncRNA from 1 species
UUUAAUUUCACAUUCAGAUAUAUUGAUGAUGUUUUUUCCAUUAACAAUCCAAAGUUUUCUGAUUGAAUUCCAUUAAUAUAUCCCUCAGAAUAAUAAGAAAUCAAAAAAAACAACAGACACGGCUUCCUCCAGCUCAUUUUUAGACUUAUACCUCGAAUUUGACAUACGCACACAUCUCAGUACCAGAAUCUAUGUCAAACGAGACGAUUUUAAUUUUAAAAUUAUCAAUUUCCCCAACCUCAGUAGCAAUAUACCAACUUCACUUGCAUAUGGGAUAUAGUUAUGAAAGGUACCAGAUUUAUAAUUUGAUACGCCAGACGCGCGUUUCGUCUACAUAAGACUUAUCAGUGACGCUCAGAUCAAAAUAGUUAGAAAGAUAAACAAGUAUAAAUGAAGAGCAUUGGGGACCCAAAACCAAAAAAAAAAAAAAAAAAAAUGUGCCAAAUACGACUAAGGUUAUCUAUGCCUGGGGUAAGAAAAUCCUUAGUAUUUCGAAUAUUUCAUAAUUUUACAAACAGUAAAUUUA